GCUUACGGCCAUACCACUCUGACAAAACCUGAUCUCAUCUGACCUCGGAAGCAAAGCAGAGUUGGGCCUGGUUAGUAUUUUGGUUGGGAGACUGAAUGGAAUACUAGGUGCUGUAAGCU
ensembl:rRNA 5S_rRNA 5S ribosomal RNA